UCAAGAACCUUUCUCAAUGGGCGAAAGCCUGAAGAAGCGAUGCCGCGUGUAUGAAGAAGUCUUUCGGGAUGUAAAAUACUUUUAUAGGGGAACAAUUUUGAGCGUACCUUAUGAAUAAGGGGUUCCUAAACUCGUGCCAGCAGGAGCGGUAAUACGAGUACCCCAAGCGUUAUCCGGAAUUACUGGGCGUAAAGCGUUUGUAGGAGGCUGUGUUAGUCUUGUGUUAAAUUUUGGGGCUCAACCCCAAAGCCGCAUAAGAAACGGCAUAGCUAGAGGAUGUAAGAGGCUGAUAGAACCUAUGGUGUAGGGGUGAAAUCCGUUGAUAUCAUAGGGAAUACCAAAGGCGAAGGCAUUCAGCUGGUGCAUUCCUGACUCUGAGAAACGAAAGCGUGGGGAGCAAAAAGG
rnacentral:rRNA from 1 species